CCUGCGGAAGGAUCAUUCAUAAUAAGUGUUCUACUGCACUUUUUAAAAAUAGUACUCACCUUGUGUGCAAUGUUGUGUGAGCUUGUCUAGUACAAGUUCGCACCUACACCAACCUAUAAUUUUGAACCACUUUGUCUGAAAAACUAUUAUGAAUACUUAAUUCAAAAUACAACUUUCAACAACGGAUCUCUUGGCUCUCGCAUCGAUGAAGAACGCAGCGAAAUGCGAUACGUAAUGUGAAUUGCAGAAUUCAGUGAAUCAUCGAAUCUUUGAACGCACAUUGCACUCUCUGGUAUUCCGGAGAGUAUGCUUGUUUGAGUAUCAGUAAACACCUCAAAUCUCUACAUUCGUGUCGAGAAUUGGACUUGAGCAAUCCCAACUCUUUGCAAAAAGGGGCGGGUUGCUUGAAAUGCAGGUGCAGCUGGACAUUCUUCUGAGCUAAAAGCAUAUUUAUUUAGUCCCGUCAAACGGAUUAUUACUUUUGCUCUAGCUAACAUAAAGGUCGAAUGAACUAUACGCUGACUGAUGCAGGAUUACCAAGUUUCCGUGAAAAAGAAACUUGUAAACUCGAUCUCAAAUCAAGUAAGACUACCCGCUGAACUUAAGCAUAUCAAUAAGCGGAGGAA
rnacentral:rRNA from 1 species